CCUGCUUGGGAUUCUCUCUCUUCUUCUCUCUCUGUCCCUCCCCCGAAUGCAGGCGUGCUCUCUCCCUCUCUCUCGCAAAACAAAAAGAAAUUACUAAAGUACUACCUCACACUAUGCUUCCAUAUUGAAUACGCUGGUAAAAAGUACGGUCCCCUCCGGCUGCCCUUCUCCCCCGCAAAACCCCCAGGGCCCCUCUGUUGGGACAGAGCGCCCCCUUUGCAGCCAUCUGUAAGGAAAGGGGGGGCUGGCGGUCGCUGGUGCCCGCCAUGUGCCCACCGAGCGGACGUGGGUUAAUUCACUGCACAUCACCCACUGAGGAGGCCGGUGGCGAUCUGAAAGGGUGACCUGAGUCAUCCCUGGUCACGUGGCUAGUGAAGGUGGAGCCAACCUUGGUCACGUGGCUAGCGAGGGUGGGGCCAAGAGGCCACGCGGCUGACUUGCUGAGGAGCCAGUUUAUGGGCAGGUCACCUGACCAGAUGGGAGGUUACAGACCAGCCUAAAGUGCUCGUGCCUCGCUCCAGCUUUGAUGGUGGAGGCAUCUACUCCAAAGACGUCUCUCCGGUAAACACACGACUGGCCACGGAACUGGGUCCUGUAAGUAAGAAACUUUUAUUUCAAAGUUCCCUGAUGGUUGUUACUGAAGGACAUCUGCCACCAGAGCGAGAACCAGGCGGGCCCGUCCAACCACAGCACUGGUUACUGUUCCGCCGAGACCAGCCCGCAACAAUGACCCUGUCUGACCUUAUCUCCAAACGCCUUCACAAUCUAAGUAAAAGAGCAGUAGUUAAUUCCGGAAGCUGGACUCCGUGCUGAGACUAAAUCGCCACAUUCCCCACCCUUCGUUGUAGUUGGGGGGUAGCCACGUGAUCAAACCCCGGACAAAGAAAUUAAAAAGAAAGGAUGGGAGUAACACGGGGACACACGUCUUUUAAAGUGGCUUCUUCCUCCGGACACCUGGGUGGCUCGGCCGGUGUCCAGCUCAGGUCAUGAUCUCAAGGUCUGUGAAUUUGAGCCCCUCAUUGGGCUCUCUG